rnacentral:rRNA from 1 species
GAUGAACGCUGGCGGCGUGCCUAAUACAUGCAAGUCGAGCGAACAGACGAGGAGCUUGCUCCUCUGACGUUAGCGGCGGACGGGUGAGUAACACGUGGAUAACCUCCCUAUAAGACUGGGAUAACUUCGGGAAACCGGCGCUAAUACCGGAUAAUAUAUUGAACCGCAUGGUUCAAUAGUGAAAGACGGUUUUGCUGUCACUUCUAGAUGGAUCCGCGCCGCUUUAGCUAGUUGGGAAGGUAACGGCUUACCAAGGCAACGAUGCGUAGCCGACCUGUCAGGCGGAUCGGCCACACGGGAACGUGGACACGGUCCAGACGCCUACGGGAGGCAGCAGUAGGGAAUCUUCCGCAAUGGGCGAAAGCUUGACAGAGCAACGCCGCGUGAGUGAUGAAGGUCUUCGGAUCGUAAAACUCUGUUAUUAGGGAAGAACAAAUGUGUAAGUAACUAUGCACGUCUUGACGGUACCUAAUCAGAAAGCCACGGCUAACUACGUG